rnacentral:rRNA from 1 species
AAUUCCUGCUCAGGACGAACGCUGGCGGCGUGCCUAAUACAUGCAGUCGACGCUUCUUUCCUCCCGAGUGCUUGCACUCAAUUGGAAAGAGGAGUGGCGGACGGGUGAGUAACACGUGGGUAACCUACCCAUCAGAGGGGGAUAACACUUGGAAACAGGUGCUAAUACCGCAUAACAGUUUAUGCCGCAUGGCAUAAGAGUGAAAGGCGCUUUCGGGUGUCGCUGAUGGAUGGACCCGCGGUGCAUUAGCUAGUUGGUGAGGUAACGGCUCACCAAGGCCACGAUGCAUAGCCGACCUGAGAGGGUGAUCGGCCACACUGGGACUGAGACACGGCCCAGACUCCUACGGGAGGCAGCAGUAGGGAAUCUUCGGCAAUGGACGAAAGUCUGACCGAGCAACGCCGCGUGAGUGAAGAAGGUUUUCGGAUCGUAAAACUCUGUUGUUAGAGAAGAACAAGGACGUUAGUAACUGAACGUCCCCUGACGGUAUCUAACCAGAAAGCCACGGCUAACUACGUGCCAGCAGCCGCGGUAAUACGUAGGUGGCAAGCGUUGUCCGGAUUUAUUGGGCGUAAAGCGAGCGCAGGCGGUUUCUUAAGUCUGAUGUGAAAGCCCCCGGCUCAACCGGGGAGGGUCAUUGGAAACUGGGAGACUUGAGUGCAGAAGAGGAGAGUGGAAUUCCAUGUGUAGCGGUGAAAUGCGUAGAUAUAUGGAGGAACACCAGUGGCGAAGGCGGCUCUUCUGGUCUGUAACUACGCUGAGGCUCGAAAGCGUGGGGAGCAAACAGGAUUAGAUACCGGGGGUUAG